rnacentral:rRNA from 1 species
AGAGUUUGAUUCUGGCUCAGGAUGAACGCUGGCGGCGUGCUUAACACAUGCAAGUCGAACGGGAAAUAUUUCAUUGAGACUUCGGUGGAUUUGAUCUAUUUCUAGUGGCGGACGGGUGAGUAACGCGUGGGUAACCUGCCUUAUACAGGGGGAUAACAGUCAGAAAUGGCUGCUAAUACCGCAUAAGCGCACAGAGCUGCAUGGCUCAGUGUGAAAAACUCCGGUGGUAUAAGAUGGACCCGCGUUGGAUUAGCUUGUUGGUGGGGUAACGGCCCACCAAGGCGACGAUCCAUAGCCGGCCUGAGAGGGUGAACGGCCACAUUGGGACUGAGACACGGCCCAGACUCCUACGGGAGGCAGCAGUGGGGAAUAUUGCACAAUGGGGGAAACCCUGAUGCAGCGACGCCGCGUGAAGGAAGAAGUAUCUCGGUAUGUAAACUCCUAUCAGCAAGGAAGAUAGUGACGGUACCUGAAUAAAAAGCCCCGGCUAACUACGUCCCAGCAGCCGCGGUAAUACGUAGGGGGCAAGCGUUAUCCGGAUUUACUGGGUGUAAAGGGAGCGUAGACGGUGUGGCAAGUCUGAUGUGAAAGGCAUGGGCUCAACCUGUGGACUGCAUUGGAAACUGUCAUACUUGAGUGCCGGAGGGGUAAGCGGAAUUCCUAGUGUAGCGGUGAAAUGCGUAGAUAUUAGGAGGAACACCAGUGGCGAAGGCGGCUUACUGGACGGUAACUGACGUUGAGGCUCGAAAGCGUGGGGAGCAAACAAGAUUAGAUACCCUGGUAGUCCACGCCGUAAACGAUCAAAAAGGGGUGUCGGGGAGCAGGGUUUUUCGGUCCCGUCGCAAACGCAGUAAGAAUUCCCCCUGGGGAGGACGUUGGCAAGAAGGAAACUCAAAGGAAUUGACGGGGACCCGCACAAGCGGUGGAGCAUGUGGUUUAAUUCGAAGCAACGCGAAGAACCUUACCAAAUCUUGACAUCCCUCUGACCGGUCUUUAAUCGGACCUUCUCUUCGGAGCAGAGGUGACAGGUGGUGCAUGGUUGUCGUCAGCUCGUGUCGUGAGAUGUUGGGUUAAGUCCCGCAACGAGCGCAACCCCUAUCCUCAGUAGCCAGCAUUUAAGGUGGGCACUCUGGGGAGACUGCCAGGGAUAACCUGGAGGAAGGCGGGGAGGACGUCAAAUCAUCAUGCCCCCUAUGAUUUGGGCUACACACGUGCUACAAUGGCGUAAACAAAGGGAAGCGAGAUUGUGAGAUGGAGCAAAUCCCAAAAAUAACGUCCCAGUUCGGACUGUAGUCUGCAACCCGACUACACGAAGCUGGAAUCGCUAGUAAUCGCGGAUCAGAAUGCCGCGGUGAAUA